GCGCCCGCCCCGCAGCCCGCGCCCGCCCGCCGCAAGUUUGUUCCCCGCCGCUGCGGCCUGCGCGGAGAGAGGAUCGCGCGCGGGGAGGCGCCGAGGGGCAGCAAGAGUGGAGAAAGUGCGGAAAGAAGCAACAGCCGCUCCACCCGCGGGCGGAAAAGUGGCCGGGCGCGGCGGCGGGAUGCGGCGCAGCUAACGGUCCCCGGCGGCCGCCGGAGCCGCUAGGCGCAGAGGCAGGCUGGCACCUGCGCAGUGGGAGAGAGUUCUUGUCACUGGUGACUCAUCGUGCAGUGAGCACAAGGAAGAGCAAGGGGAUAGUGUCUCACAAGUGUAGGGCUGGAGCUACAGGAACCAUCCAGGUGCACUGGCUUUGCCUCUGCGUCUUUCUGUGCCACUGUCUCAUUCUGUUUCCGGCUGUGCGUGGAUGCAGAUGACCCAGAGAGCAUGGAAGGGGAAUAAACUGGACUGAACUUCCUGUCCACCCUCUACAACUAACAAGGACCUUUGAUGAUCUCGUUCCAGGUGGUGUGAACUUCUCCUGGGACCAUCUGUCCCUCCCAGCAGCUCCAGAGCUACACUGCCUUGGAAGACCCGACAGACAGAUUGCUCCACCUUGACUCUUCUUUCCACAGUGUCUUCAGCAUCUCUGUUCCUCCCAUUCCCACUCCAUUUCUUUUAUCUCUUCCCAUGCAAGAGUGGAUCAUCUGCCUCCUGGGCCAGUAGGGUCCUUUGCAGGCGGCCAACCAAGGGAAAGAGAAAGUGGCUCUUGGAAUCACAGACCCAGGCUGGGAAGAGUUUGUGUGAUGCAGUGGCCACCCCCUAAGAGCUGCAGUGAUCCUCUGAGCCCUUCAGAAAGCACUACGACCACGAAAAGUUCUUAGGGGGCAGCAGCCAUUUCCCAUAGACAGGCUGUGUCAUGUCCACAUUCACCGCAGGGCAAUUAUGGUGGAGAAGAAAAAGAGACUGGACUGGAUGAACUGUUAAUAAACCUCUUCUUUGACAAGCCACCUCCAUGGUGGCUAAGAUUUCUGCAGCUUCACAUAUCUAUAUAGACCUGCUUCACCUUAAAAUGUGGCGCACUAUGAAUGUGUCUGUUUUACUACUGUUGGCACGGAGUGCUGGUUUUCUCUGGCAUGUAAAUCAGAAGUUGUGACUCUGGGAACCUUCUUUACCUGCCAUGCCAGGCUAUGCAGCUGAAGGGUGCAAAGGAGAGUUGCUCAGGGUUUCUGGGACCAGUCUCCUGGCUUUCUUCCUAUCUGUCAGCCCCAGAUGCUAUCCUAAACAAUAGCUCUUCCUGUGUCUAGCUAGAGAAAGAUUUUCUUUGGGUAUCAUCUUUAGGUAUCAUUCUAAAAUAAAAUCUUUGUCUAAGGUAAUUGUGCAAGGGUUUUCCAGGAGGCAAUAGUUAAGGAAUUAUUGCUAGAAAUGUUUUAGUAAAUUGAAUAUUCUGGAAAAUAAGUGUGACAUUA
rnacentral:lncRNA from 1 species